rnacentral:lncRNA from 1 species
AUGCAUGCUCUUCUUUAUCAUUUCCCCUAUUCCCUGGACAUUUUUCUUGUAGGUCCCAGAGACCACAUUGGAAGUAACUGCUAUCAAAGUGAGGUGUAUGCUGUUCUUCUUUUUCUGCAUAGAGGAAGGACAACACACUUGAAUAUUCAGUCUCAGGUUGGGAAUCAGAGAGAAACAGGCAGCUACAGGGGAGGUUAUGCUCUUUUCAGCCCUGUUAGUGCAGGAACUAAACAAACCACAAUGCACAAAACACUGCAGGCAAUCCAAGGUAUGAUGCAGAGCCUGUAGACAAUGAAAUGCAAGAAUGGUGGAAUAAUCACAUGAUAGAAACAAAAAUAUUCAUUUCUACAUGAGUGACUUUCUUUGGGCUACAGUGGAAGGAAUAUCUACCUGCCAGGGGGAUUCUUGAUGUUAAACAUUAAAGGAUGUGUAUUUGCAUUGAGGUAGUGUCUGAACUCCUGUCAUUGCUAUUCAAAUGUUGUGGGUCCUAUUCUGUUUUCAUUUUGUGCUAAGAAUUUUGUUGAAAGUAUGAAAACCAAACAGCUGAUUGUAGGAGGCAUGUACAAGCACUGCUCUUUGUAAAUCUGCACCUGCUCAGUGAGCACCAAUAGUUUGAUGUCAACACACAGCAGCUGAGCAUCUGCAGCAGAAACUUUUCUACAUUUUCUUGCCUCAGUAUUAUGCCCUGUUAUAGUUUGUUGUGCAGUAAAAGCCCCACUAAAAAGCAUAAAGAUUCAAAAGUUGUUUAGGUUUUGUAAUCACAAAAGCUUGUAACAGCCACUGUCUGUCCCACUUAAAUGGGAAGUCUUGCCAAAGAGAUGUCCCUUGCCCAGUCUCACCAAGAUGUUCUAGUGUGCAGCCACAUGAGGCUGGAGUCUUACUCUGUGGGUCAUGGCUGCAGUCAGCCCCUCUCCUCCAUGGUUGCAGGUUCUCUCCUCUCAUGAUUCAGAAUGCUCUGCCACUUGGUCUCUGUGUUUAGCAAGGUCUUGCCCUGCUGAGCUGUCUCUUCUGCCUUCCCUAAAGACUUUGUGCUGCUCUCAUGGACUGGCGACAGUUCCACUUCUGCCUUUUCUCCAAAUUUUUUAUGUAACAGUGACACUUCAUUUUUUGACUUUUCACACUUAAGCAGCUGGUGAAGGUUUCCUCCUACCCUGGAGCUGAUUAUGACCAUGUGCCCUUGUACCUUUUGCCUCAGCCUCUCUGGUGACUUCUGGCAUGCCUGUACCAGUGGAGAAGAUCAUCUCAAAACUUCACUUGCUGCAUACGGCUUUGAAGGGUUCUGUAAAGCCAGUAUCUGCAGGAUCUGUUGUGGAGUCUCACAACAGGCUGUUUUUUUACGUGCAAAGAACUCCUCUCUGCUCCUUACCUGUCUUGUCUUGAGGCAAGCCCGAGGUAAAGUCUGGGGAGGUGGCACCAUCUGCAGCUGUUGGGACAGGAUUGCUGUGUGAGAGCUUGGGUUAUGAUGGAGACAGCUCUACUACCCUCCUCCAGGAUUAUCACUGCACUUCUCUCCCAGUUUGCACCAGUGGGUUGGAGUAAGACAAUCACCUUCCCCUCUCUGUGCUCCUGCAGUUGGUGAGGCUCCUUGGUGGGGCACCAAAGAUUGGGAGGGAAGUGUUUUAUUGCCUUCAAGGUUUUUCACCUGUUUUUGUUGCCUAACUUUGGAUAGAGAGAAUUUUGCCCACCAUUGUGAGUUCUCAUGAAUGAAGUCUGAAGGACUUCCCAAGGAGAUGUAGAUAUCUGCUUACUGCAAAAGGAGCAUCUUCCAUGUCUGUUUGGAUAAAGGGUAGAAAAAACCCUCAGUUCUUCAAUGGACUUUCUGGACAGCCCAUGUACAAUUGACAUCUCCUGUAAUGCCACAGAAGGAAGCAACAUCUCUGACCUUUCCUCCCCACUUUAUCUGGCUCUAUGUCUGUCAAAGAUCUCUUGUCUGCUUUUCACAGUGACAGAGCUGCAUCAGAUAUGCCCACCAGAGUCACUGGCUCUUGACCAGCUGUAUGUUCAUUUCACUUGCCUGCAAGCUUGGAGGGGUCUGAAGAUGAGGCAAUAGGCUGUAACUGUCUUGGAUACUGGAUUUUACUGUGGAUACUGGAUUUUACUGUGUCCUUAUCUUGAUGACUGGUGAGCAGCUGGACUAUCCAAGAAUGAGGAGUUUUGGGCAACUGGUCAAUGCUCACAGUCUUUUUCAUCUCGCUUUUGUGAGAUUGAUAAAUGUCAUGUGAUUCACCGAUGCCUGUGAAAGGAUAACUCUUGGUCUGAAGGAGAAUCAUAGAAUCAUUAAGGUUGGAAGAGACCUUCAAGAUCAUCUGGUCGAACCAUCACCCUACUACAAAUGUCACCCACUAAACCAUGUCUUAAAAUUGUGUUGGAGCCCAGUUGUUCUCAGGAAAGUUCUGUAGAAAUCAAUUUCUUACAGGUUCUCAGAUCCUGCUGUUCCCAUUAAAGUUCAUUUGACAUAAGACAGCAUGGUGAGAAAUUUCCUGGACAAAUUACAGAAUCACAGAAUGUUUGAAGUCAGAAGGGACUUCUGGAGGUCAUCUGGCCCAACCCUUGCUCAAGCAAGGCCACGCAGAGCAGCUUGCCCAGGACCACAUCCAGAAGACUUUUGAAGAUUUCCAACUUUUGUUGAUUUCCACAACAUCUCUGGGCAACCUUUAUGUUAAAGAAGCGCUUCCUGAUGCUUGGAAGAGACUUCUCGUGCUUCUUCUUGUCAUGUCACUGGGCACCACUGAAAAGAGCCUGACUCUGUCCUCUUUGUGCCCUUCUUUCAGGUGUUUAUAGACAUUGAUGUGAUCCCCCUCGUCUUCUCCAGGCUAAACAGUCCCAGCUCUCUCAGCCCCUCCUCACAGUGGAGGUGCUUCUAUAGAAACUUUUUUUCUAAAUCAUUCUAUAGAGUGGUGACCACUGUAUAAAUCUGUGCACAUCACUGAAUUAAAACUCAGUUAUAAACAACAUAAGUAUUGUAAUAAAUAAUAUUAUUUGGAAAAAAUAAUACUAAUUGAAGUGUCCUGAGGAGGAGAUCCAGUGUGCAGCUUGCAGAACAAUUGGUUCCUUUGCAGCUCUCUUUCCCAAUGCCUCCUUCCCUCCUGGAGUCAGCCUCCCAAUGCAUCCCCAUGGCUAAAUGCCCAGGGAAGCCAACAGCUCCAGGGCAGAUUCUUCCAUUGCUACAGGAGAGUGCAGGAUUCAUGUCCAUGAAGCACACCAGCAGGCCUGAGGUGUCUGAAUUACUUUAUUAAACCUGUAUCUUGUCUCCAUCCAACCCAUCAGACCCAUAGAAACAAUCCUCAAUGUUGGCACCAGCAGAAGGAGGCAACGGAAGGAAACAUUUAGCAGCUCCUUGUCAUUAGCAAAAGGCUGAUGUUGUCCAUAGCAAAAGGCUGAUGCUGUCCAUAACUUCACAGAAUCACACAACGGUUUGGAUUGGAUUAUAAAGAUCAUCCAAUUCCACCUCCCUUCCCUUCCCUUCCCUUCCCUUCCCUUCCCUUCCCUUCCCUUCCCUUCCCUUCCCUUCCCUUCCC